rnacentral:misc_RNA from 1 species
AAAAGUCGUAACAAGGUUUCCGUAGGUGAACCUGCGGAAGGAUCAUUACCUGGCCUAGGCCGCUGCUUGUCGGCGUGCCGCUCGUGCCUCUUACCUUGACUAUGCGCACCUUUGUUGUUCCCUCGGCAGUUCGCUGCCGCCAGGGACCCCUAAAACCCUUAUGUAAUACAGUACACUUCUGAAAACAAACCUAAUUAUUUACAACUUUCAACAAUGGAUCUCUUGGUUCUG